rnacentral:rRNA from 1 species
UGCCUCAGUAACGGCCGGGUGAAGCGGCAAGAGCUCAACUUUGGAAUCGCUCCGGCGAGUUGUAGUCUGGAGGUGGCCACCACGAGGUGUUCUAGCAGCAGGCAAGUCCUUUGGAACAAGGCGCCAGCGAGGGUGACAGCCCCGUACCUGCUUUUGCUAGUGCUUCCUGUGGCCCACCGACGAGUCGAGUUGUUUGGGAAUGCAGCUCUAAGUGGGUGGUAAAUUCCAUCUAAGGCUAAAUAUUGGCGAGAGACCGAUAGCGAACAAGUACAGUGAUGGAAAGAUGAAAAGCACUUUGAAAAGAGAGUGAAACAGUACGUGAAAUUGUUGAAAGGGAAGGGCUUGCACCCAGACACGGUUUCGGCCGGGCCAGCAUCAAGUAGAACGGGGUUAAAAGACUUGGGGAAUGUAGCUACUUCGGUAGUGUUAUAGCCCUUGGUGAUGACCCCUGUUUUGCUUGAGGACA